rnacentral:rRNA from 1 species
GAUGAACGCUAGCGGCAGGCUUAACACAUGCAAGUCGUGGGGCAGCGCGAGGUAGCAAUACUUUGGCGGCGACCGGCAAACGGGUGCGGAACACGUACGCAACCUUCCUCAGAGCGGGGAAUAGCCUCUCGAAAGUGAGAUUAAUACCCCAUAGUAUCUCGGAUUCACAUGGAUCUGAGAUUAAAGCUCCGGCACUUUGAGAUGGGCGUGCGGCUGAUUAGGUAGUUGGUAGGGUAACGGCCUACCAAGCCAACGAUCAGUAGCUGAUGUGAGAGCACGAUCAGCCACACGGGCACUGAGACACGGGGACCCGACUCCGUACGGGAGGCAGCAGUGAGGAAUAUUGGUCAAUGGAGGCAACUUUGAACCAGCCAUGCCGCGUGAAGGAUGAA